rnacentral:tRNA from 1 species
UGAGACUUAGUUUAUUAAAAAUUCCAAGCUGUUAACUUGGAGAUAAUGUUUGAUUUAGUCUCAU